GUUGCUUUCCUCUUUAAGAUGGAGUGGGUAUGUGUAACAUUUAAGCUUGAUCUUUGGCAGGAUUCUAGUUUGGAACUUGUUUUUUAACUGAAAUUUGAUAUGGUUGAAUCACAUUAGUACUCGAAAUCAGAUUGGGUCUUGGGCAUCGACUCAAAGUUGAAGAUGUACUGUGAUGCAUUGGGAUUUCAGCUGAAGGUAACACCUGAAAUCAGGAGUAAGCUGGUUAAAAGGCAUGAAAAAAU
rnacentral:lncRNA from 1 species